rnacentral:rRNA from 1 species
UACGUAGGGUGCGAGCGUUAAUCGGAAUUACUGGGCGUAAAGUGUGCGCAGGUGGCCGCGCAAGUCGAGUGUGAAAUCCCCGAGCUUAACUUGGGAAUUGCGCUCGAAACUACGUGGCUCGAGUGUGGCAGAGGAAGGUGGAAUUCCACGUGUAGCGGUGAAAUGCGUAGGGAUGUGGAGGAACACCGAUGGCGAAGGCAGCCUUCUGGGCCAACACUGACGCUCAUGCACGAAAGCGUGGGGAGCAAACAGG